rnacentral:rRNA from 1 species
CGACAGAGGUGGCAAGCGUUGUUCGGAUUUACUGGGCGUAAAGAGUUCGUAGGCGGUUGUGUGUGUCAGAUGUGAAAUCCCAGGGCUUAACCCUGGAAUUGCAUUUGAAACUGCACGACUUGAGGACAGGAGGGGGAAGUGGAAUUCCCGGUGUAGCGGUGAAAUGCGUAGAUAUCGGGAAGAACACCGGUGGCGAAGGCGGCUUCCUGGACUGUCCUGACGCUGAGGAACGAAAGCGUGGGUAGCAAACAGGAUUAGAUACCCUAGUAGUCC